rnacentral:rRNA from 1 species
GGCUUCCGCAAGGACAUCUGUAGAGGUGCUGCAUGGCUGUCGUCAGCUCGUGUCGUGAGAUGUUGGGUUAAGUCCCGCAACGAGCGCAACCCUUGUCUUCUGUUGCCAUCAGGUUAAGCUGGGCACUCUGAAGAGACUGCCGGUGACAAACCGGAGGAAGGUGGGGAUGACGUCAAGUCAGCAUGGCCUUUAUGUCUGGGGCCACACACGUGCUACAAUGGCCGGUACAAACCGUUGCAAACUCGCGAGGGUGAGCUAAUCGGAUAAAGCUGGUCUCAGUUCGGAUUGUAGGCUGCAACUCGCCUGCAUGAAGUUGGAAUCGCUAGUAAUCGCGGAUCAGCACGCCGCGGUGAAUACGUUCCCGGGCCUUGUACACACCGCCCGUCACAUCACGAAAGCCGG